rnacentral:lncRNA from 1 species
CCCCCCUGCUCCGCUGCUCCCUCAACUCCAUCCGUCACACAGGUGUGGGUCUUGGUCCCUGGGCUCAGGUCGCCGCCGUGCUGCCACCGUGGACACCGUGGCCAUGCUCAGCUCCACCUCUGCCUGUCACUCAGGACGGGAGCUCGCCGCCACUAUGCUCAGCUCCACCUCCGCCUGUCACCCAAGAGGGGAACUCGCUGCCGCCGUCGUGGACUUCGAGGACGACGCCACCGUCGCCGUCGCCGUCGCCGCACCCUGUCAUGCGGAGGGAAGCCUGCUUUGGCUGUGGCUCCGCCCUGGCUCCCGUAGGGGUCGGUCGUCACCCUCCCCACUCUUCUGUGCCCUCCGAAUCGGCGUCCCACGUUUUUCCUCUCUGUCACCUCUUAACUCCU